rnacentral:rRNA from 1 species
AGAUUGAACGCUGGCGGCAGGCCUAACACAUGCAAGUCGAGCGGUAGAGAGGUGCUUGCACCUCUUGAGAGCGGCGGACGGGUGAGUAAUGCCUAGGAAUCUGCCUAGUGGUGGGGGAUAACGUUCGGAAACGGACGCUAAUACCGCAUACGUCCUACGGAGAAAGCGGGGGCCUUCGGGCCUCGCGCCAUUAGAUGAGCCUAGGUCGGAUUAGCUAGUUGGUGAGGUAAAGGCUCACCAAGGCGACGAUCCUUAGCUGGUCUGAGAGGAUGAUCAGCCACACUGGGACUGAGACACGGCCAG